rnacentral:rRNA from 1 species
UACGAAGGGGGCUAGCGUUGCUCGGAAUUACUGGGCGUAAAGCGCGUGUAGGCGGUCUCGCAAGUCGGGUGUGAAAGCCCAGGGCUCAACCCUGGAAGUGCACUCGAUACUGCGAGGCUAGAGUCCCGGAGAGGAUGGUGGAACUCUCGGUGUAGAGGUGAAAUUCGUAGAUAUCGAGAAGAACACCGGUGGCGAAGGCGGCCAUCUGGACGGUGACCGACGCUGAGACGCGAAAGCGUGGGGAGCAAACAGG